CCUACGGGAGGCAGCAGUGGGGAAUAUUGCACAAUGGGCGAAAGCCUGAUGCAGCAACGCCGCGUGAAGGAAGACGGUUUUCGGAUUGUAAACUUCUGUUCUUAGUGAAGAAUAAUGACGGUAACCAAGGAUCAAGCGACGGCGAACUACGUGCCAGCAGCCGCGGUAUUAUGUAGGUGGGAAGCGUUGUCCGGAAUUACUGGGUGUAAAGGGAGCGUAGGCGGUAAGCCAAGUCAGCUGUGAAAACUACGGGCUUAACCUGUAGACUGCAGUUGAAACUGGCUUUCUUGAGUGAAGUAGAGGUAGGCGGAAUUCCGAGUGUAGCGGUGAAAUGCGUAGAUAUUCGGAGGAACACCGGUGGCGAAGGCGGCCAACUGGGCUUUAACUGACGCUGAGGCUCGAAAGUGUGGGGAGCAAACAGGAUUAGAUACCCUAGUAGUC
rnacentral:rRNA from 1 species